rnacentral:rRNA from 1 species
CCCUUAGAUGUCCGGGGCCGCACGCGCGCUACACUGAAGGAAUCAGCGUGGCUUUCUCCCUGACCCGAAAGGGUUGGGAAACCCGUUGAAUCUCCUUCGUGAUAGGGAUUGGGGCUUGAAAUUGUUCCCCAUGAACGAGGAAUUCCUAGUAAACGCAAGUCAUCAGCUUGCAUUGAUUACGUCCCUGCCCUUUGUACACACCGCCCGUCGCACCUACCGAUUGAAUGGUCCGGUGAAAUCUUUGGACCGUGACAUAGUUUUGCUUUCGGGCAAAACGUUGUCGUGGGAAGUUGAUUAAACCUUACCAUUUAGAGGAAGGUGAAGUCGUAACA